rnacentral:rRNA from 1 species
UACGAAGGGGGCUAGCGUUGCUCGGAAUCACUGGGCGUAAAGGGUGCGUAGGCGGGUCUUUAAGUCAGGGGUGAAAUCCUGGAGCUCAACUCCAGAACUGCCUUUGAUACUGAGAUCUUGAGUUCGGGAGAGGUGAGUGGAACUGCGAGUGUAGAGGUGAAAUUCGUAGAUAUUCGCAAGAACACCAGUGGCGAAGGCGGCUCACUGGCCCGAUACUGACGCUG